ACCACUCGGGUUCAGAUCGGGGGGGCCAUUCCUCCCAAUCACGCCCUUCCAGGUCUCACUGUCAUUGCCCACGUGAGCAUUGAAGUCUCCCAGCAGUACGAGGGAGUCCCCAGAAGGUAUGCCCUCUAGCACCCCCUCCAGGGACUCCAAAAAGGGUGGGUACUCCAAACUGCUGUUCGGCACAUACGCACAAACGACAGUUAGGACCCAUCCCCCCACCCGAAUGCGGAGGGAGGCUACCCUCUCGUCCACCGGGGUAAACCCCAAUGAACAGACUCCAAGUCGGGGGGCAAUAAGUAUGCCCACACCCGCUCGGUGCCUCUCACCGGGGGCAACUCCAGAGUGGUGGAGAGUCCAGCCCUUCUCAAGGAGAUUGGUUCCAGAGUCCAAACUGUGCGUUGAGGUGAGCCCGACUAUAUCUAGCCGGAACCUCUUGACCUCGCGCACUAGCUCAGGCUCCUUCCCCUUCAGAGAGGUGACAUUCCACGUCCCAAGAGUCAGUUUCUGUAGCCGAGGAUCGGACCGCCAAGGUCCCCGCCUUCGGCCACCACCCAACUCACACU